UCCGGUUUCCCCGAGCCUCUGCUCCGAGGAACAAUGAAAAAGUGUCGCAGCGUCUGGUAUCGGGGCUUCUUUAUACGGGACUUCUCUUACGAUUGCAUCUUUCUCGUUGUUCACUCUCGUUCUUUGUCGCGCCUUCCACCACCCUUUUUAUCACACACCUUUCGGACGUUCGAACUUCGCAUCCUACGUUCAAGAACGACGCGCCGGAAACGAAAUGAUAAUACAAAGCCGACCCUGAUGUAAUUUUCAAGGUAAUCUCUCGGCACUUAAUACGCUUCGCGAUGCCUCUCUCUCGACGAUUGUUCGGUCAAGGGCCAAAGGACAGAUAUCAAUCGAUUACGAUGACAGUCGGCAUGAUUUUGUCAUCCGAUCAAGGCUGUGCUCGAUCUCGUAUCGAUGAUAUUACUGUCUUUUAUUAUACUCGCAGAAGGGUUUGUUUAUAUUUUUUCAAACAUUCGCUAGAAUUUAUUCAUUUGGACUUUUGGUGUAGGAAUGAAAUCAUUUUUCUAAACGAUUUUUAUAUUAAAAAGAAUUAUUUUUAUUUAUUUAUCGAAUUACAUGGAUAUACAGAUACAGCCUUAUAAUAUAGAAAUACGAUAAUUUUUCUGAAGGAUUUAUUUUUGUCAAUUUUGAUGAUCUCUUUCGAAAUAAGUUUAGGAAGUAUCAAUGCCGAGAUUAAACUUUAAUCUUCCCCUUUCCAUAUUCCAACCCUUGUUCAUUUCUUUCCCAAUCUGCCACCGUGAAUGUCUUGUUCCGUUAGAAAACAGCCCGGGGGUUGUUAUUGUAUAAUCUCGUUACCGGGCAGCGUUUUCAUAAGGUCGAGUUGUUUUCAGAUAAGACUGAAAGUCCAAUUACAGCUAACAUCGUGUUAGAUGAAUACUUAGAUAACGUUGUUUUGUCUUCAUUUUUCCACCAAGAUUCAGCCUACCCUUCUCUUAUCUCGUCUUUGCAAUUUGUCAUAAUGAUGUCGCAAUUAAAGCUGUCCAUUAAAGCAUACAUUCUCCACGACGUUGUUAUCAAACGGCAAUCGGAUUACGAGUAAUCAUCGUGACAGUUGGUCAGGAUAAUCGGUACCGUGGAAUCUGGACCACUAUGGAACAUGAACAUUAGCAGAUAUCAUCUUGUAGUUAAAUUUUCCGAAAAUUGGAAACCCUUUCUCGCCAUUGUUGUAGAAAUAAUGCAAGUUGGAGGUGAUGGUUAUCGGUUUCCCUUCUGAAAUUGCAUUUGGUUAUUUAUGCAGCAGGGUUUUGCAAAUUUAGAAGAAUUCAUUUUUAAGGUAAUUCAAAUCCGAGAAUCUUCUGCUAGAGGAAUUUUUCCGUUUACGAAUGAUCGGUUUGUCUCUUCAUCCCUGAGGAAGGGUGCACCGCACCCUGUUAACUCAGCGGAGAGGAACGCUCGCGAUUCGUUGCGUGUGCGGUCACGCGUGCACUCGUGAAUGGGCCAGUAACACGCCACAGGGAAUAUGAAAGCGAGAGUCACUCGACUGUUACUCCAACCACGUUCCGUUGAACUUGACCCACUCUUUGUCUCGCGGCGCAGCCUGCUUCUCUCGUAGCUAACGAAAACGUCACGUCCCUUUCCACCGGCCUCCGUUCUGUGUUCACCUUCGUCGCGAACAGCCGUUCGAGUUACCUGCGCCCGACAGGUACAUCACGAAAUAUUCCUGCAGCUGCUUUAACCGGGUCAAGUUCGUUCCUAGAGAUUGGACGCCCACGGACGCGGAACUGAUACUUCCAGCGUCUUUUAACCCGCCUUUGAUCAUUGGACCCCUAUGUUACAAUGUUCCUUUACGUUGUAAACGGCGGGACAACAGGGAAUAAUGUAAUCAUCAGCGCGAUAAAUAUGCAUUUAAAAAAAUAUACAAAGCACGGUGCAGUAAAAAGGAAUUGUAAGGUGCGCGAGUUCAAAACCAAUGAGAAUGAAAUUUUUUUUUAAAUUAAAUUUUUACUUAUUAUUCUUAAUAUUUUAAUUCUGAUAUUCAGUUUUGUAUUUUAUUAAUUUUUAACAUUAUUUAAUACGUCGAUUGUCACCAGUGAUUGAACGUGUUUACAAAUUCGCGCGCUCGAUGCAGGGUCGAAGCACAGUUGCUUCCAGUUCUUCUGCUUCGAGUUCUGCUUCGAGCUUGUGAGUUUCUACACAUUUACUGUCUUAUAUUAAUAAUAGAAUAUAAAAAAUCAAGAGCUUAAAUUUGAUAAUUAAUUACUUCUUGUAUUCUUAAUUAUUCUGAUGUCUGAAUUCAAUGUGUCUGAUUAUAUAUGUAUAAUUCUACUUAUGUAGAAUUACAUAUUUGACAGUCAAGUCGUUAAGGCAGAUGAGGUAAUUUUCGAAUGUAUAUUUAUAGAGGUUCAAGUUUUCAAAGAUCUUUCGUUGGGCGUUGAAAGAAGGUCGGUUAAAUAUUUGAUCGGCUGUGUAAUUUUAGUUGGCAUUGCUCGGUUGCCGUAUACAGGUGAUGAGGUCGAAGGCCCUGGUUUAGAGAUUAGGAGUCACUGACAUUACGAGGCCGACGAAAACGAAAUUAAGUUCGGUGAACUUGAGAUACGAGCGACCUUCUCCUCCCACGUACCACUAUUACACUUUUAUAAUCGAAAACAUUUAUAUUCAAUGAUCUCCAAUCUUUCUGAAAUUUUUUACCAUGUCUAUGGGUAUUCCUCGACCAUAGGAAAUGUCACUUUUCCCACCGGUUCUUUGAUUCUGUUACCGGAACCUCCAACAAACCCUGAAUCCAAAAGCUGCUCAAACUAAAACGGCGGAAAAACGUCGUUCAGGCUCAGCCUUGCAGCGACAAUUGAAUUGUGAAAGUCCAGAAGCUUGAUAGAAAGUAUCAUAGCGGUGCAUAGAGUGUCGUGAAUCGGGUUAUACUUGGUGGAACGAAGGGACCAGUAAAAGUUGUUUGACUCUUGAAAAAAGAUGGUCAGCCAAUCAAUAGUCGAUUCAUGAGAAAGAAAAUUCAAUUUUAUUUUUAGAACGACAUCGUUUAAUAUUUUCUUUGAAUUAUCGUUUGAACAAUUUACAAACUAUUCUUUAUUUCACGAACGUACACAGGGUAUUUGAAAUUGAAAUCCAAUUGAAAAGCUGAUUCUCACUGAAAGGUACCUUUUUUUUUUCGAGGGAUUCGAACGUCGGGAUACAUCAGUCAGAUAUCAGGAUACGCGGGUGUUCGAUGGGAAAAAAAUCGAAUUCCAUGCGUUGUUGGCUACAAUUUACCCAUUGAUUUUGGUCUGCUGGCUCGCAGCGGUGGUGCAAGAAUUUUUUAACCAGCUCCGUCACGGGGAAAGAGAACGAACAAGCUUUUUGAUAGUCCGUCCGCGAAUCGAGCUUUUGUCGGUUCGCCAGCACGUAGUCGCGAUUACCCAGAUGCGCGCGGAUAUUUCGCACGGAAGCUAGUUUAUCUUGCCAACAAUGCCGUGUCCAAUAAAAGCCGACUAUCCUGCGGGAGAGUACUUGUUAUCGUGACCAGAGAAAGAAUCGGCCGAUCGGAUUUUCAAAUCGAACCCUUUUUUCCCUUCGUCGAACAAUUUUGAUAGAAAAAUAAAAAAUUUUUCCUUUCCUUUAUAAAAAUAUUUUUCACAAAUUAAAGAUGAAAUGGUAGACGUUGAACUUCUUGAGAAAUUUUCAAAGGUGAUCGAUAUUAAUUAAACGGUGAUAGAAAUGAAUGUAAUUUUCUUUUUUCCACUUUCUUCUCUGUCACAGGAGAAGGUUCAUUUUCACCGGGCAUUGUACCUCUAUCGCUCUCUGUGUUCGAGGUAAACGCUUUUUUCUCGUUUGAAAGCUGCGGUUGACCGAGGGAAAAAAAAAUUUCCUUCGCGUUGAAAACUCGUGCAACAGCUAAUUUAAUUUACCCAUUCGACGGCUGCCGUUUCAUUCGAGUAACUUUUCCUCGAGCUCGACCAUUCAAGGUGUCUAACCACUUUAUUUCUUUCUACGACACUGCGACUGACGUAAUAAACCAUACAUGUACUGGGAUAUUAUAUAAAAAAAUUAAUUUUUAACAUCCUUAUCCCUUUGCCCUGUAAUAUCAAGACACACUCGUGUCGCAAUUUACACUUCAAAUGUGUCUUUGACUGGUACUUUUAAUAUGGUUCGAUUUUUAAUUUAAUUUUAAUUAUAAUUUGGACAUAUUUCAAUUUUCUUUAUUUCUUUUAAAAUUCAAGCAACGAAUAGUUAGGAACUAUUGAAAAAAAUCAUAAUAGGAGUUAAUAAUCACCCUUCACAAGACGCAUGAGGUGCGUCCUUGUUUCUAUUGUAUAAGAAUUCAGGACGCAUAUGGUGUUUCAUUGAUUAUCUCAGACAUUGUAAGACGCAUCAGGUGCGUCCUCCCUAACCCCCCUGUGGCUGGGGGGUUUAGAAUACAGCCACGGUAACCCCUGCCUGUCGUAAGAGGCGACUAAAAGGGGGAUUAGGUUUAAGUUAGGGUUAAGUCUCGUCCUACCUGAAGGUGUCAAGCACCGUGGGCGGCUCUGCGUGGGUGGACAUUGAUUAUCGACCCUGCUCGUGGGAUCCAAAUGGAAAAAUUAAAUAGAAACAAAAAUAAAAAAAGGUGGUGAGGUAGAAGAGUAGCUGGUAACACAAGCUCGACAGUCAUACCCAAAAUGAUGACCCUUGGAAAACAAAUGCAUGUCCAGUCUUCUUGUAUCUAUGGUCACUGGAGGUAGAAAGAGAGAGAAAGAGAGUAAGCAGAUGGACGAUCAUACAAGCACAAAAGUAAAAAAGGAGAUGGAUGAGAAUAAUAGUGAAAAGAAGAAAAGAGUUAAUCGAGGAACAAGAAGAUAAAACUACAAGUAUCGAUUCAAAGCACCUUAAAAAUUGUUAAAAUUAAAGUAUUAUAGUUAUUAUAAACAUUAUAGAAAACUUUGUAAACUUGAUGUAGGCAUAAUCUCGUGCCAACCCCUUUCAAAACCUAAAAGUAUAAAAUAAAUCUGAUGUAUCUAGUAA